rnacentral:misc_RNA from 1 species
UGGUUCCGGCAUCGAUGAAGAACGCAGCGAAAUGCGAUAACUAAUGUGAAUUGCAGAAUUCAGUGAAUCAUCGAGUCUUUGAACGCACAUUGCGCCCCCUGGUAUUCCGGGGGGCAUGCCUGUCCGAGCGUCAUUGCUGCCCUCAAGCACGGCUUGUGUGUUGGGCCCCCGUCCCCGGUUUCCCGGGGACGGGCCCGAAAGGCAGCGGCGGCACCGCGUCCGGUCCUCGAGCGUAUGGGGCUUUGUCACCCGCUCUUGUAGGGCCGGCCGGCGCCUGUCGACACCAACCCAAUUUUUCUAAGGUUGACCUCGGAUCAGGUAGGGAUACCCGCUGA